rnacentral:ncRNA from 1 species
ACAGGGGUGCUUUCAAAAAAGAAGGCUGAGAUUAUACCCGCGUUCUUUCGGGAACGGGACCUGAUCCGGGUAAUGCCGGCGUAGGGAUUUUC